CCCUGCCAUUUGUACACACCGCCCGUCGCUACUACCGAUUGAAUGGCUUAGUGAGAUCUUGGGAUUGGCUCCGGGGAGCCGGCAACGGCACCCUGGAAUUGAGAACUUGAUCAAACUUGGUCAUUUAG
rnacentral:rRNA from 1 species